CUACGGGGCGCUGCAGUGAGGAAUAUUGCACAAUGGGGGGAACCCUGAUGCAGCAACGCCGCGUGGAGGAUGACGCAUUUCGGUGUGUAAACUCCUUUUAUAUGUCAAGAAAAUGACGGUAGCAUAUGAAUAGGCACCGGCUAACUCCGUGCCAGCAGCCGCGGUAAUACGGAGGGUGCAAGCGUUACUCGGAAUCACUGGGCGUAAAGGACGCGUAGGCGGGUUGGAGGGUCAGGUGUGAAAUCCUACAGCUUAACUGUAGAACUGCACUUGAAACUUCUAAUCUAGAGUAUGGGAGGGGGAGAUGGAAUUAGUGGUGUAGGGGUAAAAUCCGUAGAUAUCACUAGGAAUACCUAAAGCGAAGGCGAUCUCCUGGAACAUUACUGACGCUAAGGCGUGAAAGCGUGGGGAGCAAACAGGAUUAGAUACCCGUGUAGUC
rnacentral:rRNA from 1 species